AGAGUUUGAUCCUGGCUCAGGACGAACGCUGGCGGCGUGCUUAAUGCAUGCAAGUCGAACGAAGAACCCACUUUGGGUAACCACUGUGGAAUUCUUAGUGGCGAACGGGUGAGUAACACGUGAGAAACCUGCCCCGGAGACCGGGAUAGCCCAGGGAAACCUGGAUUAAUACCGGAUACCCUCUUACGACCGCAUGGUCGAUCGAGGAAAUGGUCCGCUGCUCCGGGAUGGUCUCGCGUCCUAUCAGCUAGUUGGUGAGGUAACGGCUCACCAAGGCAAUGACGGGUAGCUGGUCUGAGAGGACGAUCAGCCACACUGGGACUGAGACACGGCCCAGACUCCUACGGGAGGCAGCAGCAGGGAAUUUUGCACAAUGGGCGAAAGCCUGAUGCAGCGACGCCGCGUGGGGGAUGAAUGCCUUCGGGUUGUAAACCCCUUUCAGGAGGGACGAAGCGAAAGUGACGGUACCUCCAGAAGAAGCCCCGGCCAACUACGUGCCAGCAGCCGCGGUAAUACGUAGGGGGCGAGCGUUGUCCGGAUUUAUUGGGCGUAAAGAGCUCGUAGGCGGCUCAGCAAGUCGGCCGUGAAAGCCUGAGGCUCAACCUCAGGAUGCCGGUCGAAACUGCUGUGGCUAGGGUUCGGUAGAAGA
rnacentral:rRNA from 1 species